UACAGAGGUCUCAAGCGUUGUUCGGAUUUAUUGGGCGUAAAGGGCGCGUAGGCGGCGGGGUAAGUCGGGUGUGAAAUCUCAGGGCUCAACCCUGAAACUGCACUUGAUACUGCUCUGCUUGAGGGCUGGAGAGGAGACUGGAAUUCACGGUGUAGCAGUGAAAUGCGUAGAUAUCGUAAGGAAGACCAGUGGCGAAGGCGGGUCUCUGGACAGUUCCUGACGCUGAGGCACGAAGGCCAGGGGAGCAAACGGG
rnacentral:rRNA from 1 species